rnacentral:rRNA from 1 species
GAUGAACGCUAGCGAUAGGCUUAACACAUGCAAGUCGAGGGGCAGCACAAGGUAGCUUGCUCUCUGGGUGGCGACCGGCGCACGGGUACGUAACGCGUAUGCAACUUGCCCUAUACAGGAGGAUAACCCGUCGAAAGACGGACUAAUACUGCGUAUGCUCACAACUUGGCAUCAAGUGGUGAGGAAAGAAAUUCGGUAUAGGAUAGGCAUGCGUCCCAUUAGCUUGUUGGUGAGGUAACGGCUCACCAAGGCAACGAUGGGUAGGGGAACUGAGAGGUUUAUCCCCCACACUGGUACUGAGACACGGACCAGACUCCUACGGGAGGCAGCAGUGAGGAAUAUUGGUCAAUGGGCGCGAGCCUGAACCAGCCAAGUCGCGUGAAGGAUGACUGUCUUAUGGAUUGUAAACUUCUUUUAUACGGGAAUAACAAGAGUCACGUGUGACUCCCUGCAUGUACCGUAUGAAUAAGCAUCGGCUAACUCCGUG